rnacentral:rRNA from 1 species
CCUACGGGUGGCAGCAGUGGGGAAUAUUGGGCAAUGGGCGCAAGCCUGACCCAGCAACGCCGCGUGAAGGAAGAAGGCUUUAGGGUUGUAAACCUCUUUUCUGAGGGAAGAAGAAAGUGACGGUACCUCAGGAAUAAGCCAAGUCUAACAACGUGCCAGCAGCCGCGGUAAUACGUGGGUGGCAAGGUUUCUGCGGAUUUGUUGGGUGUAAAGGGGCAGUAGGCGGAAAGCAAGUCAGAUGUGAAAACUCAGGGCUCAACCCUGAGCCUGCAUUUGAAACUGUUUUUCUUGAGUGCUGGAGAGGCAAUCGGAAUUCCGUGUGUAGCGGUGAAAUGCUUAGAUAUACGGAGGAACACCGGUGGCGAAGGCAGAUUGCUGGACAGUAACUGACGCUGAGGCGCGAAAGCGUGGGGAGCAAACAGGAUUAGAUACCCUAGUAGUC